rnacentral:rRNA from 1 species
GACGAACGCUGGCGGCGUGCCUAAUACAUGCAAGUAGAACGCUGAAGGAGGAGCUUGCUUCUCUGGAUGAGUUGCGAACGGGUGAGUAACGCGUAGGUAACCUGCCUGGUAGCGGGGGAUAACUAUUGGAAACGCUAGCUAAUACCGCAUAAGAGUAGAUGUUGCAUGACAUUUGCUUAAAAGGUGCAAUUGCAUCACUACCAGAUGGACCUGCGUUGUAUUAGCUAGUUGGUGGGGUAACGGCUCACCAAGGCGACGAUACAUAGCCGACCUGAGAGGGUGAUCGGCCACACUGGGACUGAGACACGGCCCAGACUCCUACGGGAGGCAGCAGUAGGGAAUCUUCGGCAAUGGACGGAAGUCUGACCGAGCAACGCCGCGUGAGUGAAGAAGGUUUUCGGAUCGUAAAGCUCUGUUGUAAGAGAAGAACGAGUGUGAGAGUGGAAAGUUCACACUGUGACGGUAUCUUACCAGAAAGGGACGGCUAACUACGUG